GCAUCCGUAGCUCAGCUGGAUAGAGUACUCGGCUACGAACCGAGCGGUCGGAGGAUCGAAUCCUCCCGGAUGCACCA
rnacentral:tRNA from 1 species